rnacentral:rRNA from 1 species
GAUGAACGCUGGCUACAGGCUUAACACAUGCAAGUCGAGGGGAAACGACGGGGAAGCUUGCUUCCCCGGGCGUCGACCGGCGCACGGGUGAGUAACGCGUAUCCAACCUGCCUCUGACUGAGGGAUAACCCGUCGAAAGUCGGCCUAAUACCUCAUGGUAUCGUCUGCGGGCAUCCAACGACGAUUAAAGAUUUCAUCGGUCAGGGAUGGGGAUGCGUCUGAUUAGCUUGUUGGCGGGGUAACGGCCCACCAAGGCUACGAUCAGUAGGGGUUCGGAGAGGAAGGUCCCCCACAUUGGAACUGAGACACGGUCCAAACUCCUACGGGAGGCAGCAGUGAGGAAUAUUGGUCAAUGGGCGAGAGCCUGAACCAGCCAAGUAGCGUGCAGGAAGACGGCCCUAUGGGUUGUAAACUGCUUUUAUGCGGGGAUAAAGUGAGGGACGUGUCCCUCAUUGCAGGUACCGCAUGAAUAAGGACCGGCUAAUUCCGUG